rnacentral:rRNA from 1 species
GGUCUCAGAGAGUUGAUCGAUAGGCUCAGGACGAACGCUGGCGGCAUGCCUAACACAUGCAAGUCGAACGGGGGUAGCAAUACCCUAGUGGCGAACGGGUGAGUAACACAUAAGCAAUCUGCCCUUCGACAGGGGGAUAACAGCGGGAAACUGCUGCUAAUACCGCAUAAGACCACGGUACCGCAUGGGUACAGGGGUAAAAACGAAUCAGUGGUGAAGGAUGAGCUUAUGUCCCAUUAGCUAGUUGGUGAGAUAACAGCCCACCAAGGCGACGAUGGGUAGCCGACCUGAGAGGGUGAUCGGCCACACUGGAACUGAGACACGGUCCAGACUCCUACGGGAGGCAGCAGUGGGGAAUAUUGGGCAAUGGAAGGAAACUCUUACCCAGCAAUGCCGCGUGAGUGAAGAAGGUCUUCGGAUUGUAAAGCUCUUUGAUUGGGGACGAAGAAAGUGACGGUACCCAAAGAACAAGCCCCGGCUAACUACGUGCCAGCCGCCGC